AAGCAAGUGGAUGACUUUCUUGCUUCUAUUGCUUCUCCAUCAACUGAAGUUCUCCGCAAGGUCCCUGAAAUGUCAUCUGUGGCCUCACGGUCCAGUCCAGGAAUAAGAAGAAAGAUUUCCCUAAAUACAUACACACCUACGAAGAUCCUCCCAACACCGCCUGCUGCUGUAAAGAGCACCAAAGCAAGCAGCAAAGCAGGAAAGAAGUACUGACGGGGAGCCAACAGGAAAUGCUUAGUCACUCACAAGAAGACCUAGGAGCUGCUGCGACAUUUCUCAAUGCUGGACAGUUGUUUGGAGUCGGGUAGUGAGAACUGACCUCAGAAUUAUCGACGAAG
rnacentral:lncRNA from 1 species